rnacentral:rRNA from 1 species
UUAGAGUUUGAUCCUGGCUCAGGAUGAACGCUAGCGGCAGGCUUAACACAUGCAAGUCGAGGGGCAGCAUGGAGUAGCAAUACUCUGAUGGCGACCGGCGCAAGGGUGCGUUACGCGUGAGCAACUUGCCCGCAUCUGGGACAUAACCGGUGGAAACGCCGACUAAUUUCCCAUAACAAGGGAUCCUGCAUGGGAACCCUUUGAAAGAUCCGUCGGAUGCGGAUAGGCUCGCGUGACAUUAGCUAGUUGGUGAGGUAACGGCCCACCAAGGCUACGAUGUCUAGGGGAACUGAGAGGUUGGUCCCCCACACUGGAACUGAGACACGGUCCAGACUCCUACGGGAGGCAGCAGUGAGGAAUAUUGGUCAAUGGGCGCAAGCCUGAACCAGCCAUGCCGCGUGAAGGAUUAAGGCCCUAUGGGUCGUAAACUUCUUUUGUACGGGAGCAAUAAGCCCCACGUGUGGGGUGAUGAGAGUACCGUACGAAUAAGCAUCGGCUAACUCCGUGCCAGCAGCCGCGGUAAUACGGAGGAUGCGAGCGUUAUCCGGAUUUAUUGGGUUUAAAGGGUGCGCAGGCGGCACGUUAAGUCAGCGGUGAAAUGUCGGGGCUCAACCCGGGCACUGCCGUUGAAACUGGCGAGCUUGAGUACGGAUGAAGUUGGCGGAAUGUGAUGUGUAGCGGUGAAAUGCUUAGAUAUGUCACAGAACACCGAUUGCGAAGGCAGCUGACUAAUCCGCAACUGACGCUCAGGCACGAAAGCGUGGGGAUCGAACAGGAUUAGAUACCCUGGUAGUCCACGCAGUAAACGAUGAAGGCUAGCUAUUAGCGAUAGACAGUUAGUGGCUAAGGGAAACCGAUAAGCCUUCCACCUGGGGAGUACGCCGGCAACGGUGAAACUCAAAGGAAUUGACGGGGGCCCGCACAAGCGGAGGAACAUGUGGUUUAAUUCGAUGAUACGCGAGGAACCUUACCCGGGCUUGAAAGUUAGCGACGGACCUGGAAACAGGUCUUCCCGCAAGGGCGCGAAACUAGGUGCUGCAUGGUUGUCGUCAGCUCGUGCCGUGAGGUGUCGGCUCAAGUGCCAUAACGAGCGCAACCCUUGUCAUCAGUUGCCAUCAUUAAGUUGGGGACUCUGGUGAGACUGCCGCCGCAAGGUGAGAGGAAGGGGGGGAUGACGUCAAAUCAGCACGGCCCUUACGUCCGGGGCGACACACGUGUUACAAUGGUGGGUACAGAGGGCGGCCAUCCGGCGACGGAGCGCAAAUCUCGAAAACCCAUCUCAGUUCGGAUUGGAGUCUGCAACUCGACUCCAUGAAGUUGGAUUCGCUAGUAAUCGCGCAUCAGCCAUGGCGCGGUGAAUACGUUCCCGGGCCUUGCACACACCGCCCGUCAAG